ensembl:lncRNA
CGAAACAAGACGGUUCUGCCAAGUUCUUUGAGGAAGGCUCCAGCCCUCUCACUUCAGUAUCUUACCUAGUUAUUUUCUGAUGAUCUCGUUUGAUCUCUUUUGUAGCUUUGGCAACUACGUGUGUCUUAUAUCUGUUUGCUUCUCUCCCUGUAGGCUUUACAGACUCUCCCCACCUCUUGCCUGCAACUCUUCUAAUUUAGUGUACCCUGUGCACACAACCCAUGUGGAAUUCUGGGUCUUCGGAAGCGUUUGGAACUGCUGCUCUGCGGUUAAGAACGCAGAGUUCAUCUCAUCCUAUGCUGCCCUUCAGUCCCUUGACUUUUUGGCCCUGACGGAGACAUGGGUCACCCCAGAGAACACUUCUUCUUCAGCUGCUCUCUCUUCAUCCGACUACGUUUUCUCUCGUAGUCCAAGAGCAUCUGUUCAUUGUGAUGAUGGUUCAGAUCUAUCCACUGCCUUCAACACCAUGAACCAUCAGAUCCUCCUCUCCACCCUCUCAGGGCUGGGUGUCUCAGGCUCUGCAAAAUCUUGGAUUGCAUCCUACCUGGCAGGCUGCUCCUACCAGAUAUCUUAGCUUGGAUGUCGGCCCACCACCUCAAGCUCAACAAGAUGGAGCUGCUCUUCCUCUCAGGGAAGGCCUUGCUGCUCAAAGAACUCUCCAUCAUGGUUGACAACGCCACAGUGUCGCCCUCCCAGAGUGCCAAGAACCUUGGACAACACCCUGUUAUUCUCAGCAAACAUCAAAGCAGUGACUCACUCCUGCAGGUUCAUGCUCUACAACAUCCGUAGAGUACAACCCUACCUCACACAGGAAGCGGUACAGGUCCAAAUCCAGGCACUUGUCAUCGCCCGUCUGGACUACUGCAAUUCGCUGUUGCCUUGGCUCGCCGCUUGUGCCAUCAAACCCCUGCAAUUCAAGAACGCUGCAGCCUGCCUGGUUUUCAACCUUACCAGGUUCUCCCAUGUCACCUUGUUUCUCUGCACACUCCACUGGCCUCCAGUCGAAGCUCGCAUCCAUUGCAAGACCAUAGUGCUUGCCUAAGGAGUGGCAAGAGGAACUGCCCCUCCCUACAUUCAGGCUAUGCUCAAACCCUGAAUAACCCGAACACUCCAUUCUGGUCUCUUAUCACCCCCCCUUUCUAGCUCUGACUUUAGUGAUAGCUAUUUUAUUGAGGAAAAUGUACUGCGAUAUGUGGUUGUCCCACCUAGUCGCUCCGGAUAACCGCGUCUGCCUAAAUGACAAAAAUGUAGUUAUUUACUCCGUUCUAUCAAUUUUGUCACCCAGUGUGUUAGCAAGAGAGAAAGGAAACACAUGCUCUGUGUUUUUCCCAUAAACUCUCCUAUCCUUUGUGACGCGACGGGGACUGGGCUGACUGUUGACUGGCUGCUAGUGAUGACUGAAUGCUGAACAAUGGAGGACUGAAAUAGUCAAGACCUGGCAACUCUUCCAUAUCCACGAUCCAUCAUGUCUGUCACAUCUGGCCGGCUUGUG